rnacentral:snoRNA from 1 species
GCUCAGUGAUUUAACUAUCCUGAAACUGAAUACCUGAAGGAAAGCAGGUAUAGAUUCGGCUUCUGAGAU